UUACAUAUGCUUGCCUUAAAGAUUAACCCAUGCAUGUGCCAGUUCAGUAUUGAACAGCGAAACUGCGAAUGGCUCAUUAAAACAGUUAUAGUUUAUUUGAUAAUAAUUCUUACAUGGAUAACCGAGCUAAUUGUUGGGCUAAUACAUGCUUAAAGUCCACUGCCUGUGUAGUGGAUGUAUUUAUUAGAUAUCAAACUAAUCGCAGCAAUGUGAUUAAGAUGAAUCAAAGUAACUGACCGAAUCGCAGGACUCUGCGAUAAAUCAUCUAAGUUUCUGCCCUAUCAGCUCACGAUGGUAGUGUAUUGGACUACCAUGGCGCUCACGGGUAACGGAGAAUUAGGGUUCGAUUCCGGAGAAGGAGCCUGAGAAACGGCUACUACACCUACGGGUAGGCAGCAGGGGCGUAAAUUACCCAAUCCUAAUUCAGGGAGGUAGUGACAAGAAAUAUCAAGUCGGGAAGAUUUUCUUCUACGGCAUUGAAAUGAGAACAGUGUAAAUCUCUUAGCGAGGAACAAUU
rnacentral:rRNA from 1 species